rnacentral:rRNA from 1 species
UGAAUACGAGAUGCUACGGCGUCGAAGCAGUGUAUGUCAGACUUCCAAGAAAAGCUCGCAAUGUCAUAAAUAAAGAAUGCCUGUACCAUAACCGACACAGGUGGGUAGGUAGAGUAUACUAAGGGGCGCGAGAUAACUCUCUCUAAGGAACUCGGCAAAAUAACUCCGUAACUUCGGGAGAAGGAGUGCCUUCUUUAAGAAGGUUGCAAUAACAAGAUCCAAGCAACUGUUUAUCAAAAACACAGGUCUCCGCUAAGUCGUAAGACGAUGUAUGGGGGCUGACGCCUGCCCAGUGCCAGAAGGUUAAAGAAGCUGGUUAGCAAUAGCGAAGCUGGUGACUGAAGCCCUGGUGAACGGCGGCCGUAACUAUAACGGUCCUAAGGUAGCGAAAUUCCUUGUCGGGUAAGUUCCGACCCGCACGAAAGGCGUAAUGAUUUGGAUACUGUCUCGGAGAGGGACUCGGUGAAAUAGACUUGUCUGUGAAGAUGCGGACUACCUGCACCAGGACAGAAAGACCCUAUGAAGCUUUACUGUAACCUGAAAUUGAAAUUGGACUUUAUUUGCGCAGUAUAGGUGGGAGGCGUUGAAAGUAAUCUUGCGGGAUUAGUGGAGCCAUCAGUGAGAUACCACUCCUAUAAUGUUAGAUUUCUAACUUUGGAUCAUGAUCUGGUCAAAGAACAGUUUCAGGCGGGCAGUUUGACUGGGGCGGUCGCCUCCCAAAUGGUAACGGAGGCGUACAAAGGUUUCCUCUGAACGGGUAGAAAUCGUAUCUAGAGUAUAAAGGCAUAAGGAAGCUUGACUGUGAGACCUACAAGUCGAGCAGGGACGAAAGUCGGUCUUAGUGAUCUGACGGUGCUGAGUGGAAAGGCCGUCACUCAACGGAUAAAAGUUACUCUAAGGAUAACAGGCUGAUCUCCCCCAAGAGUUCACAUCGACGGGGAGGUUUGGCACCUCGAUGUCGGCUCAUCGCAUCCUGGGGCGGUAGUACGUCCCAAGGGUUGGGCUGUUCGCCCAUGAAAGCGGUACGCGAGCUGGGUUCAGAACGUCGUGAGACAGUUCGGUCCAUAUCCGGUGUAGGCGUUAGAAUAUUGAGAGGAGCCUUCUCUAGUACGAGAGGACCGAGAAGGACAUACCUCUGGCGUACCAGUUAUCGUGCCAACGGUAAACGCUGGGUAGCUAUGUAUGGAGAGGAUAACCGCUGAAAGCAUCUAAGUGGGAAGCCCACCUCAAGAUGAGUAUUCUCAC